rnacentral:rRNA from 1 species
GAUGAACGCUAGCUACAGGCUUAACACAUGCAAGUCGAGGGGCAGCAUUUUAGUUUGCUUGCAAACUGAAGAUGGCGACCGGCGCACGGGUGAGUAACACGUAUCCAACCUGCCGAUAACUCCGGAAUAGCCUUUCGAAAGAAAGAUUAAUACCGGAUAGUAUACGAAUAUCGCAUGAUAUUUUUAUUAAAGAAUUUCGGUUAUCGAUGGGGAUGCGUUCCAUUAGUUUGUUGGCGGGGUAACGGCCCACCAAGACUACGAUGGAUAGGGGUUCUGAGAGGAAGGUCCCCCACAUUGGAACUGAGACACGGUCCAAACUCCUACGGGAGGCAGCAGUGAGGAAUAUUGGUCAAUGGGCGAGAGCCUGAACCAGCCAAGUAGCGUGAAGGAUGAAGGCUCUAUGGGUCGUAAACUUCUUUUAUAUGGGAAUAAAGUUUUCCACGUGUGGAAUUUUGUAUGUACCAUAUGAAUAAGGAUCGGCUAACUCCGUG